UCCCUGGUGGCUCAGAGGUUAAAGUGCCUGCCUGUAAUGCGGGAGACCUGGGUUCGAUCCCUGGCUCGGGAA
rfam:Ovis aries breed Texel chromosome 1, whole genome shotgun sequence.